rnacentral:rRNA from 1 species
UACAGAGGGUGCAAGCGUUAAUCGGAAUUACUGGGCGUAAAGCGAGCGUAGUCGGUUAUUUAAGUCGGAUGUGAAAGCCCCGGGCUCAACCUGGGAAUUGCACUCGAUACUGGAUAGCUAGAGUUCGGCAGAGGGAAGCGGAAUUUCCGGUGUAGCGGUGAAAUGCGUAGAUAUCGGGAAGAACAUCGGUGGCGAAGGCGCUCUGCUGGACCAUAACUGACACUCAGGGACGAAAGCUAGGGGAGCGAAUGGG